UACGAGGGGGGCAAGCGUUGUUCGGAUUUAUUGGGCGUAAAGGGUGCGUAGGCGGUUUGGCAAGUCUUGUGUGAAAUCUUCGGGCUCAACCCGAAGCCUGCAUAAGAAACUGCCGGGCUUGAGUAUGGGAGAGGUGAGUGGAAUUUCCGGUGUAGCGGUGAAAUUCGUAGAUAUCGGAAGGAACACCUGUGGCGAAAGCGGCUCACUGGACCAUUACUGACGCUGAUGCACGAAAGCUAGGGGAGCAAACAGG
rnacentral:rRNA from 1 species